CCUACGGGUGGCUGCAGUGGGGAAUAUUUCACAAUGGGCGCAAGCCUGAUGCAGCGACGCCGCGUGAGCGAUGAAGGCCUUCGGGUCGUAAAGCUCUGUCCUAAGGGAAGAAUAAUGACGGUACCUUAGGAGGAAGCCCCGGCUAACUACGUGCCAGCAGCCGCGGUAAUACGUAGGGGGCGAGCGUUAUCCGGAAUCACCGCGCGGAAAGGGGGCGGAGGCGGCCCUGCAAAUCAGGAUUUAAAUCCCGAGGCUCCACCGAGGUCAGCUCUUGAAACUGUAGGGCUUGAGUGCAGGAGAGGAGAGCGGAAUUCCUAGUGUAGCGGUGAAAUGCGUAGUUAUUAGGAGGAACACCAGUGGCGAAGGCGGCUCUCUGGACUGCAACUGACGCUGAGGCACGAAAGCGUGGGGAGCGAACAGGAUUAGAUACCCGAGUAGUC
rnacentral:rRNA from 1 species